rnacentral:tRNA from 1 species
GCCCCCAUCGUCUAAUAGUUUAGGAUCUCUCUUUCAAGGAGGCAGCGGGGAUUCGAAUUCCCCGGGGGGUA